rnacentral:rRNA from 1 species
UACGAAGGGUGCAAGCGUUACUCGGAAUUACUGGGCGUAAAGCGUGCGUAGGUGGUUCGUUAAGUCUGAUGUGAAAGCCCUGGGCUCAACCUGGGAAUGGCAUUGGAAACUGGCGACCUAGAGUGCGGUAGAGGGUAGUGGAAUUUCCGGUGUAGCGGUGAAAUGCGUAGAUAUCGGAAGGAACAUCAGUGGCGAAGGCGGCCACCUGGACAACAACUGACACUGAGGCACGAAAGCGUGGGGAGCAAACAGG